AUCUGCUGUUCAACUUGGAUGGAUCUGACAAACUUCGCAAGGAAGUACAAUUGUCUACAUCUACAUGUAAUUUGCUAUUAGAUGGAAGAGGUGGCAAUUUUUGAAGGCUUUUGCACCUUUCCAGAUCAAGAUACGAAAGCUUAGAAAGGCAUCUAAUGCUUUCAGGUAGACUGACGAAAUUAUUUCCACUAAGAUCCAAUCUUUCCAGAAAGGACAAGCAGCCAAUAUCAUCGGGGAUAUCUCCUUCACGGAGUUUACAAUCUUUUAGAGAUAACUCUGUUAACUCUGUCAAAGAGCAUAAACUAUUUAGAGAAGACAACACCAAAUCCAAACAAGGAGGAUCAGGACGACUCUUUCCAAGUCCUAGUAAGCGGAGAAGGCCCCACCCCUCCCUUGCUUUAGCAUCCGAUCCGUUACAUAAGUUAUCCAUGUCUCUUGGGAGUUUGUCAAUUUUUGAGCAUCCUUGCAUUCGGAGUCUUCUAAGAGACUUCAAAUUACAAAUAGUCGUCGGAAGGUUCAAGAGAUAUGAGCAACCAACUAGACACAACUCCUGGAGGCCAACCAAAUGUCCAAUUGAUGAAGCUAUUUUCUCUAUCAGAGUCGCACUUAAGUCAAUCGAGGACACAUUCUUCAUCUGCUCCCCAAAUUCUGGAAUCUUUUUCACAUCUGAGUUGCUAAGACUUAAAGAUUCCAGAGAAUCCAUUUUAAGCUCACUUGGGAGGCUCUCAAGUUUUAAGUAGCAUUCAAAAUUCAAGUUCAAGUUUUUUAAGAUGUGCAAUAGACGGGUGUAUCUCAACUAAAUUGAAACAACCUCGAAGAUUCAACUUCACAAGAUUUGGAACACCACUGAAAUCCGGGUACUCUUCAAUUUACCUGAGUUUCUAAGAUCGAUCCAUCUCAAGUUGGGCAAGUCCUGUACAACAUCGAUAAGAUUCAGAUCAUAUAAAUAAAUAAAUAAAUGAUUAUUUUGUAUAUUAAAUAGCAUUUAUUCAAGGAUGAAUAAUAAUUAUGUACUCACUAGUGAGUACUCUAUAUGCUCAUUUUUGUUUUGGUUCUUGUUCUUUAUUUUUAAAGCCCAAGAAAAAUUAAAUAGCAUGUCCAUUAUUUUUGAAAAUAAUAAAAUAUACUUGUCCAAAAAGUGAGUACUGAUUAGUCACUACCCAAGUGGUAUCAUUUUAUUCAACACUACUCUCAUCACUUUUUUUUUUUUUUAAUGGUAAAAAUACUACUCUUACCACUUUUCCCUCCCAUAACCGAACAAGACUGCUUCCAUACAUGUGAAGUUCAGUAAGGUGGCGCAUGGGAAAGUUGGUUGGAAGAAAAUUAGAAGGAUAUUGAAACCAGUAUAUAUAUCUCAAUGAACACGGAAGAAAUUUAGGGCCUGAAGAAAAGAAAACUUGAUCGAUUGUCAAAAUCCUCAAUCUAUCCAUCUUAGAGAAGGCUUCCCAAUUCCACUCGCGUUUCACAUAUGUUAUAGGCAUGUGUAAUGAUAUGACUUCAAUUGCACUCAAACCCUGACAAUUAAGAAAAAAAGACAAAUUAAUUUCACAUUCAAGUAUAUUAGUGUCAAAAGUUCAUUCAAACUUGGUAUUUUACUUCUUACCAUAUUGGUCGCCAUAUUGGUCGUGAAUACAUGAGAAAUGUCAUCGUUAAGCCACAACCUACUGCGUAGACCAGACUCUUUAGACCUGUGACCAAUAAUUGUCCAUGCCAUUUCUUCUAUCAAAUCAUGCAUCCGUAUGCAUUUUUGGUGAUCUUGAUAGAGGAGAAAUCUCUCAAUUAGUACAUCUAUCACAAUAUGGCUAGAGAUUCCAAAAGAAUUAGAACUAUCUAGACUUUCAAUUACUUGCUUCCUGUAAUACCCUUUGUAGAAACAUGCAACAUCGAGAAAAUGCUCUUCUCCCACUCUUCUAGUGCAUCAUAACUUACUUUAAGUUUAUCAAAAAUAGCUGGAUUAGGAAUUUUUGAUAGAUUAUCCCGUACACUAUGCCAAGCAUCUAGCCCUCUCUUAAACAAAGCCGACCCCAAAGUUUCAAGAGCUAAUGGAAGGCCUCCAGCAUGAUUGUCAUAACAUUCAUCAUAAUUAUCAAUCACAUUAUUAAAAAGAUAGUUAAACACACACACACACACACACACACAUAUAUAUAUAUAUAUAUCACAAUCUUCAUCAGUGCACGAGCCAAAUCCUAUUUAAUAAGCAUAUGAUGGCUAUAUAUAUAUAAAUCACAUUUCAAUAAAAAUCAUAUUUAUAAGACUAAUUCAUAUUCACAAUUGAUACCAAAUAAGAAAUUCAGAUAAUAAACAUAUCUCAUAUAUUCAAGUCACUAUCUAACUAACAUAGGUCCACUGGUCACGCACCGUCGCAUGAGCCGCUGCGGGUGGCGGUUGACUGCCCCGACUCACCGGAAAAAUUCAACUAUCUUUAAAAAUUACCAAAAAUUACAUAAAUGAAGAUCUCAAGGAGUAGAGCAAACUUUAUACCUGUGGCCAAGUCUAAUUUGGCCGGGAAGGCCCUCAAAUUGGCUCGCACCCGUCGAAACCCUAAAGUGGGUGUUCUUCAAUUUGGCUCCCUUGGUGUUCCAACGCCCCAACCACCAAUUGGGUCUUGUUCUUGGGUCCAAGGGAAGUUGAUUAAGGGUGAUGGUGAAUGGUGAUACUCACCAGAAUGACGAAUCGCCGUCAAGAACCCCCGGUUUUUCGGUGGAGUUCUACUCGAAUUAGACCUUAAAAACCCUUGAUUUUUGGUGGAGAUGGAAGGAGGAAGGUAGCUGAGUAGGUUGCAGGUGAUGAAUGGGUGCAAAACGCCUAAAAAAUGAAGGAUUUUGGCCUGACAUUGGCUGGAUCGAAACCAUUUUUUUCAUGGGUGCUUGGGUUUACAAAUUUGGGGGGGGGGGGGGGGGAGGGGCAUCCUUUCGCUCAUUUUCUUUUCUUCUCUUGCCACUCCCGUGGCUUUCUUUUUUUUUUUUUUUUUUUUUUUAAAGCAACACAACUUCAUACGUCCGUAACUAUACUGUUAUAAUCCGGACUCGCAAACGGUUUUCGCCUAUGCGUUCAUGACUUCAAGACCUAUUCGAAAACGUUACUUGUGACCUCGAAAAGUCAACGAGUAAAUAAUAAUUUUCCAAACUUCGCUCUUCAUAACUAGUUUAAUUGAAAUCUAAUUUCAAAUAAAUUAAUAUAAAUUCUCGAAAAAAUAAUAUAAAUCUCAAUAAUACAAAUACGUAGAUUAUAACAGUAAAAUCCAAGAAUGGGAUUUCACGUCUUUACCGUUAGAGACACCGUUAUAUCUUGGAGAUCUACCAAGCAAACGCUAGUUGUGACUUUGUCGAACUAUGCUGAGAUUUUCGCCCUGCAUGAAGCAUCGCGUGAGUGCUUUUGGUUGAGAGAAGUCAUGGGACAUAUUUGAAGCAUUAGUGGUCUUACAUCAGUCGUUGACCCUCCUACGACGAUCUUUGAAGACAAUGCAACAUGUAUCGAGCAGUUAAAGAAGGGAUACAUCAAGGGAGACAACACCAAGCACAUAACGUCGAAGUUCUUUUACUCACACCAACAGCAGCAGCAGCAUCAAAACAUUGAAGUCAAGCAAAUCCGUUCCCAGGAGGAUAACUUGGUCAAUCUCUUCACCAAGUCAUUGCCCAAGUUUACUUUUCAAAAGCUUGUCCAAGGAAUCAUUAUGCGUAAAUUAUCUGAGUUAAAUCGCAUGUAGUUCUCUUAUUUAGAAGUUAUGGCUAGCUCAGGGGGAGUAUCUAGAAGCAUACUUACAUGAUCUUAAUGUACUCUUUUUCCUACGAUUAGGAGCAUUUUUUUCCACUGGGUCUUUGCUACCUAACGAGGUUUUAACGAGGCACCCAUCCUGGGAUGAUCAUACUCCGUUGAGUUCACUACUUUCGUCCUGUUUGACAUUUGUUUUAGAUAUUAUGCAUACUUCUCACCUUUCUCCUUAAUCUAUGGGUUUUCCUCGUGCCUUGGGUAUUACCAUAGUUAGGUUUUGUGAGUUUUACUACAAAUGCAUACUUCCUUAAACUUGAGACUCGCGAUCACCCGUUGUGCCAAUGACUUCAUCAACAAUUCUACCUUAUCGCUGAAUAUCUAAUGCGAUGUUUGUUGAGUAUUUACACACUCAAGGGGGAGUGUUGCAGUCAUAUUUAGAAUAAGAAUGUGAUUGUGUAAAUCCUUAUAGUUAUGGGAAUGUAUCUUAUAUUCCUAUUAAUUAUGAGUUUAUUAUCUAUUAAAUGUUGUAAUCAUAAAAGGAAAGGUUUACCUAUUCUACUACUAUAAAUAAAGGCACAAUGAGGUAAAUUAAACACACCUCACAAUUAAAUCACUCUCUCUUCUCCCUCACUACCUCCGGCCCAUCUCUCUUUCUAAACCCUAAGAUCGUUCAAUCAAAUAGGCCUACAACAAAAACUAGUUUCUUGAGCUUUCAAAAUUUGUAUUUUGAGCUUUAAUUUUAGUUUCUAAUCAACACCAUGACACAAGCCAUAAAGUAACAAAACCAAUAAAAUGUCAACUGAAAACGUUAUAUGUGAAAAAGAACAAUGAAUUACAUGAAAUGAAAACGUCAAAGUAGGCAUGUAGUCAACCUAUGUUGUCACGCCACAAAUUAAAGUACAAUGCGAGCUGGUGACAAAUUUGAGCCACACCGCGGUAAUUCAUGCAAUGUAAAUCUCUCUCAAAGAAGCAACAAGAAAAUCCUCAUGCAAGAGUUCUCCACUUUCUUACUCGUUCAAGAGGAAAGCUGAAAGGACAAGUAUUUUCCAAAAAAAAAAAAAAAAAAGGUGGAAGACAGACUAUGGAAAUUUUCCAGGAAGCAAGAGUUUAGAGUAAGUUCUCAACUUUCUUCUGAGAAAAGAUAUUCAUGUCUCUUUUUCUUUUCUCUUCAGUGAUGCUAAAGCCAACUAGUUAUCUUAUUUCUACAGCCACUUUCCAAUACUUGUUCCAAAGAUUUUCCACAAAAAAAAGUAGAAGACUGACUACAAGGAAAAUAUUUAUGUCACCCACCAUGAAAUUUGUAUAUAGGUUUUUUUCACACAUCUGUUCAUUAGGUCCACUAACAAUGUUGAAGUCAUUGUGGAAUAUGCUGAGAUUUCCCCUGUCAUUUAGACAAACCUUCUCAUGGUUACACCCUACCCCCAGCAAUUGGCAAUAUCAAAUCUGAUAAAACUAGUCAAACAAAUGACAAGCCUUCAAUGCAAGCUGCAAUGUAAGAGUUGAGUUGAAAUGAUCCAUACAUCAAAUAAAAUGAUCAUUCAUAAGAAUCAUGAAACCUAGGCUAAGUUCCAUGGGCUCUUAAGGUCCCUCAUCAAAACAUAGAAUAACCACUGCAUUUGGAUGAUGGUAUUUAAAGUUCCAUGAAAACAAGGCUACACCUUCAGAAACGCACUACAAAAAAAUAGAUAGAGGGGCUUCAAAAUGACUAGAUGCAAACAUUUGAGAGAAAUUUCAAAUGAUACCUUGAAAGUCCUUUGUUGCGUGUCAUUCUACUGCACUACUUGUGUUUUAGUAGUAACUUUGUAGUGCUUUAGUAUAGUUUAUCAGUAGUGUUCUUGUAGUGCAUCUUUAACAAUUAAGUCUAAAGUUUGUCCCUCAUUCAAAGACAUAACAAAACACCACAACUCUAAGUUAUAUACAAAAAACACUUCAAGAGCUCAAUGAAGAAAAAAAAACUUGUCUAUCCACUUGUCAUGCUCUAAUUGAUUCUUAGUUGGAAAAUCCUUCUCCAUCAUCAAGUAAGUUGGUUUUUUUUUUCUUUUCUUUUUUAACUAUUGGGUUUGAAGUGGUUUUCUCUAAAGAUCAAGUAUCGUCAUCUUCCAGGAGAAUCUACUCACUAAAUUCGUUAUCUCUUAUAAGAAGUAAUGCUAGGAAGACAAAAUUUAUAGACUAUAAUUGCAAACUAAAUGAUGUGUCACUAAUAAGAAAUGAGCAUGUUUAUCAACGUUUAAGUAAUAAUUCAAUCAUCAACUUCCAUGUCAUUUAGUUUACAAAACUUAGUCUACAAAUUUAGUCUUUCUAACAUUACUCAUCUUUAAGUUAGGAAAUGAACGAAUUAGUUUUAAAAUGAAAGCGAAAUAUGGUACAACAGAGUUUACAUAGUUUCUACUUCUUUAUACGUACACCAGUUUCUACUUCUUUACACAGUCAAAAUCAAUAAAAUUAACAUAACGAACCGUCGAUGAAUGCCCCGUCACUAAAACGCAGCAUAACAUAUGUCAUAUCUACUGCUUUCCUAGUAAAACCGACAUCUUUAUGGCCACAAACUUACAUGAAUCAACUUCAUGAAAUCUAAUUUCUGAUGAUCAAUAGAAUUCAAUUGUUAUGUAUGUGAUAUCGGCAGGGUUGGAUCAACCGGAGCUUGAAUUUUUCGUUAAGAUCGAACAUAACUGAUUUUUCUGAUUUGCAGUGCCCUUUUAUUAAUGGCAGAACUGAUUCUAUUGUCUAAACCCCUUUGUCUAAAGUAUUGUAAUGAGCAGCCACGGGUACGACACUAUCUUCAAGUGGUGAUAAUCUUUACCACCUUAUUUAGCCAUUUUGGAGAAAAAGUAUUUGAAAAUUAAAAAAAAAAAACAAAUAAAGGAUGAGGUGAAAUUGGCCAGCUCAAUAAUUUUCUUCCCUUUUUUUGAAGCGCAUUCCGGAAACUUACUAAAAAUUUGGGUAAAUUUAUAGACAAGAAACAGUAAUGCAACUUGGCACAAAUAGCAGGAUUUCAAAAACCAAAAGCUGAAUUACUCACUACAAUCCAAUGUCUUCAGGAUUUUAGCAAUUAAUUAUGUCACUAAAUUAAUUGAGCUAUUUCCACGGAGGCUCUACGAAUUAUAAAUUAAUCGGACAUUGUACAAUUACAAAAGGAGCCACCAUGCGCCUCAGAUAGUGUUAUUUGAGAUAGAAUCUAUUAUACUUUGAUUGGUGAAGACAAUGAAAUAACGGAAUAUGUGAAUUGAAAAUGAAUUGAACAUAUGACUCAUUAUCUCUUAGUUCAAGAAGAGACCUGAAAACCUUAGUGACCCAUGUACCACCUUACAACCGUAGAAAAGAAAAACAAUCGUACGGGACAAAGACAAUACACAAUUCUAGAUAUUUCAGUAAUCAAAACAUAAGUUUCUGUGCAAGAGGUAACCUUUUAUAGUCCUUUUGAAUCAUGUGCCCUGCUUCAGUUCCCUUACCAAACUGGAUAAAAGUCUUAUCCAAGGCAAUCCCUCCUAAUCCUGUGUUACAAACGGGUCCAAAAUACUCCAUCCAAGUUCUGCCCAUCACCCAAACAAGCAGGCCCAGUUCUUGUGCGACAUAGCUAACUUUUUACUUGGGACCUAAAAUUGGGUUUCAGUCGAUCAGUCAAAUGGGGCAAUUUUCCCUAUCAAGUCGCUCCGUCUCCCAGUCCCUCUCUCUCAUUUAUUCGACUGGUUGAAGCUUUCAAGUAUCAAGAUUGGCAGAAGCAUCCGCAGAAAUCCAGAUGGGAAGAAAAUCCUGGUACUACUCUAUCACUGCUUCUCUACAAUUUUCCCGGAAAGUUUCUGCAUUUGGGUUUACAGCAAUGCAUUCAUCUCGUCCAUUUCUCUUCUGUGUCCUUUUCUUUUUCGUCUCCAACCUCAGUUUCCCUUCGCUUUCUGUCCCGUUCUUGCCUGCGACGAACAAUAACCUCACCCUCUUAGGCGACGCUUCCAUCACCAACAACGCCAUUAGUCUCACUAAAGAACUCACCACAUGCCCCUCCUCUUUCCCUUCUGCUUCUUCUGGCGUUGGAAGAGCAUUUUACGCCUACCCAAUUCGGUUUCUUGACUUGAAAACCAACGCCACUGCCUCUUUCUUGUGCCGAUUCUCUUUCUCAAUCACUCCAAGUUCCCAAUUGUGUUCUUCUGGAGAUGGCAUUGCGUUUGUGAUCACCCCCGAUGUUGAUUCUCUGGGAUCAUCCAGAGGUGGAGUAUAUGGGACUUCUGGAGCCAUCCUCAGUGUCAAAAGAAUAGUUCUUCGCCAUGGAAUUCGAUCCUAGGUUUGAUCCUAUGGUUGGUGACACCAAUGGUAACCACAUUGGUAUUUAUGUGAACACGGUUGUGUCUGUUGACUGUGUUGAUGUUGUGUCAAGAGGAUUUGAUUUGACAAGUGGGAGGGAGAUUACUCCUUGGAUUGAGUACAGAUGCUGUCAAGCUGAUUCGGGUUUGGGUUGGAUACUCUUGAACUAGGCCUCCAACGUCUCUGCUUAAUGCUCCGAUUGACCUCUUCAACCAGUUCAUGGGUGUCGGUUUCUCUGCCUCGAAUGGGCAGGGCUCUUCAAUUCAUAUUGUUGAUAGGUGGAGAUUCAAGACUUUCAGGUCUCUUCCACCUGGGAUUCUUACAGAUACCUUUGAGGAAGGGGACUGCUUCAUGUGCUCGUCACCAGAAGAUUCAAGUACCAAAAGCAGCCCUGAAAAUCGCUGCCAUGAAAGGAAAACAAAGACAGUGGAGAUGGCUCUUGGGUUGGGAGGUUUAGCUACAUAUGUUGUCUCCAUACUCACGUUUGUUUUUGUCAUUUGUUUUGUGUGUGUGAAGAAGAGAAGGGUCGCAUCAGCUAAGGUUUGUAAAGGGUCUUUGCCCUCUGAGGGAGAAGUGGCAGUGAAAAGGUUUGAGAGGGCUGAUGGGAUCGGUAGUCUGCGUAAUCCUUUCACCACGGAGUUUGCAACUAUGGUGGGUUGUUUGCGGCAGAAGAAUUUGAUUCAGCUUCAUGGGUGGUGUUGUGAGGGUAAUGCGUUAGUCCUGGUGUACGAAUACAUUGCCCAACGGAAGUCUCAACAAAGUUCUCCACAAAAGCUUCAAUUCAGCAGUUGUCCUAUCCUGGAAGCAAAGACUUGAUAUAGUUCUCGCAGUCGCUUCUGCUCUUGCAUAUCUUCACGAGGAGUGUGAGAGGCAAAUAAUUCAGAGAUGUUAAAACUUGCAACAUAAUGCUCAAUGCAGAUUUUAACUCCAAACUAGGGGAUUUUGGUCUAGCAGAAGUGUAUUGAUCACAGUUCCAUCAUUGCAAGAGAAGCAACUAUACCAGCUGGAACAAUGGGAUAUCUUGCUCCAGAAGACGUUUAUUCAGGUGUUCCAACAGUUAAAACUGAUGUUUACAACUUUGGUGUGGUGGUGUUAGAGGUGGCAACGGGAAGAAAGCCGGUGGAGGAUGAUGGAACAGUGGUUGCUGAUUGGGUUUGGAGCAUGUGGGAAAAUGGAAAACUGAUUGAAGUUGCUGAUCUGAGGUAUAUGGGGAAGUUUGAUAUGGAAGAAAUGGAGAGGAUGCUAAUGACUGUACUUGCUUUUGUGCACCCAAACCAUGUGAAGAGGGCAACGGUGAAGGAAGCUGCAAGGAUUCUUAAAGGCAAAACCCCUCUUCCUCUGCUGCCACCAAGAAAACCAAGGGUAAGCCUUCGCCCCGUUUUUCCUGAUGACUGAAGAAAUCACAUUUUGCUGUGGUGUUUGGCCAAGUCUCGAACUUGAUGAUGUACAAUAUACUGAUUUACGGGUUUGUCUGGUUUUUGCGGAAGGACCCUUUGGAAACUGAACAGAAAAGGUAAUGCUGUUUCUGGACCGCACCACCAGUUUCCAUUAGUUACAAAAACAAACUGAAACAAGUCAAUUCUUCCUUUCUAUAAAAAUUUGAAAUAUAAGUCCCUGAUGUUAACAUUAAAGGUGUUUUCAGAAAAUGAACCUCAAGAUUAGCAAUGACAUCAAGCAAGAUAAAUCACAAGGAAGAAACAUAGAGGCCAACUCCACGGCGCUAGGAUAGUACUCCUCGUACUUCAAGUCCAGCUCCUCCAAUUCCUCCCAAGCUUAUGAUGGGGACUGGUUUUACAGUGAACUGAAAUGAAAUUAAAAAAUGAAAAACUCUUUGUUAGUGUUAGAUUUCUGGAUUAUAAUAUUUUAGAUUUUGUAAGGAAGAAGAAUUUGGAAUUGGAUUUUUGGGUUUUGGAUUUUGGAUUUUCUGGCAAGAGCAGAAUUGCAGAGAGAAUUUCAGAUGAAAUGACACUUUUUUCAUUCACACAAUGAGGGUGGCCUGUCACCAGUCAACAAGAUAUAAUCCUAACUAUCCAAAUAAGUCAUCCUAUGAGAUGCUUACACAUGGUAUGAGCCAUGGCUUCUUCAAAUAAGACAACUAUAAAACUAAUGGUACACAUGGACAAUGAUCCGAUGGUCCACAUUACAAGCUCAAUAUCAAAUUCUAUAUCAAUCUUCUUAAGGAAUUAUUGUUGACACUCUAAAAAUCUCAUUUUACAUUCUAAACUUUCUAUAAUUAAAAAAAAUACACUUGUGAAGAGUAUAAAAUGAGAUAUUUGAAAUGCUAAUAACAGUUCUCUCUUCUUAAUGCAAUCAGCAAAAGUGUUUAUUCAUCAACAUUCUUAUCCACUCGCCUUUCAAUAAAUAUGGUCAUCUUGAUAUAUAUAGCUUGUGAGAUUUGAGUCAAUUGACUAAAAUAUUUUUAAAAACAAUUAAGUUGAUGAGAUAAACCGACGGUGACUUACCUACAUUUAUUAUAAGAUGGUGACAAACAAUGCCUUUUGCGGAUUUGUUUUGUGUCGUUGAAGCUCACACUUCCAAAUCCACUUGGAGCUGCCUUGUCACAAUAUUCACGUGUUCGUUUCAGGAUUUUGUGUUUGGUUGAGUUCUUCCAAAUCUUGCUUGUAUAGCAAACGAGCCCCACACUUCUUCACACGAAUCCAGUAUACUUUUUCUCCUUCCCUACUAACACCAUCAAAGUAGGUUUCGAAUAAAAACUCAUCUUGACAACAAUCUCGACGAAGCAAAUAGAAUACCCAAAGGUGUUCUGACUCUAGAGACCUUAUUUUUUUGGUCCAAAUCCUAGGGCCAUCCAUAUAAGAAAAACACCGAAUUUCGAAAUAAUCAUAGAGAUGAAGACCAGCUAGAAUGACCCAGUUUGGCGUAAGAUCUUGAAAAAGAACACAAAAGGCAAUCCCCAGCCAGUUGGUACAUGAUGGUGGAGGAAGCUCCACAUUUACUGAAUGUCCCACACUCUGAAUACUGAACCACUUUGGAAUUUCACUUCCAGGGCAUAACAUACCUCUCAUAAAAUUUGAGAUUCCCUGUAGUAGAAGAAAUAUCAAUUAUUUAGAGAGAGAGAGAGAGAGAGAGAGAGGGAGAGAUAGAAGAUCAAUUAUUUAGAGAGGAGGGGGGGGAGAGUACCUCUUGAUCAGUGGCAAAUUUUAGAAUCCUUGAGAGUAUUGUAUUAAUCCAGCCUUCAUUUGGAACCAAUGCAAUGCAAUUCAGGCAAGUGAAAUUAAAAUCAUACAAAUUGGCGAAUCUGCUAUUCAACUUGGAUGGAUCUGACAAACUUCGCAAGGAAGUACAAUUGUCUACAUCUACAUGUAAUUUGCUAUUAGAUGGAAGAGGUGGCAAUUUUUGAAGGCUUUUGCACCUCUCCAGAUCAAGAUACGAAAGCUUAGAAAGGCGUCUAAUGCUUUCAGGUAGACUGACGAAAUUAUUUCCACUAAGAUCCAAUCUUUCGAGAAAGGACAAGCAGCCAAUAUCAUCGGGGAUAUCUCCUUCACGGAGUUUACAAUCUUUUAGAGAUAACUCUGUUAACUCUGUCAAAGAGCAUAAACUAUUUAGAGAAG
rnacentral:lncRNA from 1 species